AGAGUUUGAUCCUGGCUCAGGAUGAACGCUAGCUACAGGCUUAACACAUGCAAGUCGAGGGGCAGCAUGAAAGGAACUUCGGUUCUUUUUGAUGGCGACCGGCGCACGGGUGCGUAACGCGUAUCGAACCUGCCUCAUACUCGGGGAUAGCCUUGCGAAAGUAAGAUUAAUACCCGGCGGUCUCGGAUGGCCGCAUGACUGUCCGAGUGAAGAUUUAUCGGUAUGAGAUGGCGAUGCGUCCCAUUAGCUUGUUGGUGAGGUAACGGCUCACCAAGGCAUCGAUGGGUAGGGGUUCUGAGAGGAAGGUCCCCCACAUUGGAACUGAGACACGGUCCAAACUCCUACGGGAGGCAGCAGUGAGGAAUAUUGGUCAAUGGACGAAAGUCUGAACCAGCCAAGUAGCGUGCAGGAUGACGGCCCUCUGGGUUGUAAACUGCUUUUAGUUGGGAAUAAAAAGAGGGACGUGUCCCUUAUUGUAUGUACCAUCAGAAAAAGGACCGGCUAAUUCCGUGCCAGCAGCCGCGGUAAUACGGAAGGUCCAGGCGUUAUCCGGAUUUAUUGGGUUUAAAGGGAGCGCAGGCGGCGGCGUAAGUCAGUUGUGAAAUCGUGCGGCUUAACCGUGCAAUUGCAGUUGAUACUGCGUCGCUUGAGUGCACACAGGGAUGUUGGAAUUCAUGGUGUAGCGGUGAAAUGCUUAGAUAUCAUGAAGAACUCCGAUCGCGAAGGCAUAUGUCCGGAGUGCAACUGACGCUGAGGCUCGAAAGUGUGGGUAUCAAACAGGAUUAGAUACCCUGGUAGUCCACACAGUAAACGAUGAAUACUCGCGGUUGGUUUGUUAGAGUCAGCC
rnacentral:rRNA from 1 species